rnacentral:rRNA from 1 species
UAAAAAAAUACGAAGAGCAAUCAACGGAUGCCUAGGCGCUAGAAGGCGAUGAAGGACGUGUAAAGCUGCGAUAAGCUGCGGGGAGUGGCUAAUAUACUCUGAUCCGCAGAUUUCCGAAUGGGGGAACCCACCCGUUAAGGGUGCCCGUGCUGAAUAAAUAAGGUACGGUGCGCGAGACUCAGGGAACUGAAACAUCUAAGUACCUGAAGGAAAAGAAAUCGAAGAGAUUCCGUUAGUAGCGGCGAGCGAAAACGGAGCAGCCCAGUGCAUACAGUGUAAUAACCAGAAUUAAAUGGAAAGUUAAGCAAUAUAGGGUGAUAGCCCCGUAAGGGUAAAAAACACUGGAUGACUUGAGUAGGGCGGGACACGUGCAAUCCCGUUCGAAUAUGGGGAGACCUCUCUCCAAGGCUAAAUACUAGCUAGCGACCGAUAGUGAACAAGUACCGUGAGGGAAAGGUGAAAAGAACCCCGAGAGGGGAGUGAAAUAGAACUGAAAUUGAUUGCUUACAAUGCAGUCGGAGCCCUUAGUUUUCUAGGGGUGACGGCGUACCUUUUGCAUAAUGAGUUGACGACUUAUUCUGAGUGGCAAGCUUAAACCAAUUGAAGGUGUAGGCGAAGAGAAAUCGAGUCUUGAAAGGGCGUUUAGUCGUUCGGAAUAUACCCGAAACCAAGUGAGCUACCUAUGGUCAGGCUGAAGAUGGAGUAAUUCCCAUUGGAGGGCCGAACCGGUUGAUGUUGCAAUAUCAUCGGAUGAACUGUGGGUAGGGGUGAAAAGCCAAGCGAACUUGGAGAUAGCUGGUUCUACGCGAAAUCUAUUUAGGUAGAGCGUUAUGUGUUUCCUAAAAGGGGUAGAGCUCCAAUUAACUGAUGGGGACGGAAUGUCUUACUGAAGUUAGCUGAACUACGAAUACUUUUAGGUUAUAGCAUGGCAGACAGACUGUGGGUGAGAAGAUCCAUGGUCGAGAGGGAAACAGCCCAGAUUGUCGUAUAAGGUCCCUAAGUCAUCACUAAGUGGUAAAGGAUGUGAGGAAGUGAAUACACCCAGGAGGUUGGCUUAGAAGCAGCCAUCCUUUAAAGAAAGCGUAAUAGCUCACUGGUCUAUUGUUUCCUUGCGCCGAAAAUGUAACGGGGCUAAAGUGAUGCACCGAAGACACAAGUCUGUUGCCUUUAGGCAAUGGGCGGUAGCGUAGCGUUCUGUAGGUCUAUGAAGGUAUCUCGUGAGGGAUACUGGAGAUAUCAGAAGUGCGAAUGUCAACAUGAGUAACGUAAAUGAGAGUGAGAUGCUCUCACACCGUAAACCCAAGGUUUCCCGAGCUAUGGUAGUCAUCUCGGGGUUAGCCGGCCCCUAAGGCAAAGCCGAAAGGCGUAGUCGAUGGGAACUAGGUUAAUAUUCCUAGGCCAGCUGAAAGUGACGGAGGAAACUGCUUGCGAGCGCUUAUUGGAUUGAGCUUCGCAGUCUUUUUCUUUCCAAGAAAUAGCUUCAGCAUAGACCGUACCGAUAACCGACACAGGUGGGUGGGUUGAGUAAACUAAGGUGUUGGGCUAAGUAUCCUGAAGGAACUCGGCAAAAUUCAUCCGUAACUUCGGAAGAAGGAUGGCCAGCGUUAAUUUGCGUUUUCGUUGGUAGCAUAGAAGUGGGGGUUGCGACUGUUUACUAAAAACACAGGACUCUGCAAACUCGUAAGAGGACGUAUAGGGUCUGACACCUGCCCGGUGCUCGAAGGUUAAGUGGAGGGGUUCACGCUCCGAAAUGAAGCCCGAGUAAACGGCGGCUGUAAACAUGACGGUCCUUAGGUAGCGAAUUUCCUUGUCGGGUAAGUUCCGACCUGCAUGAAUGGUGUAACGACAGCCCCGCUGUCUCCAGGAUAUGCCCAGUGAAGUUGAAUUGGCUGUGAAUAUGCAGUCUACCCGCAGAUAGACGGAAAGACCCCGUGCAGCUUUACUGUAGCUUUGUAUUGAGUUUAGCGGCAAGAUGUGCAGGAUAGGUGGGAGAUGUUGAUGUCGUGACGCUAGUUGCGAUUUAGUCAUCCUUGAGAUACCACCCUUCUUGCUUCUGAAUUCUAACCAAGUGCCAUUUCAGUGGUACUGGGACAGUGCAUGGUGGGCAGUUUGACUGGGGCGGUCGCCUCCUAAAGAGUAACGGAGGCGCGCAAAGGUACGCUCGGUCGGGUUGGAAACCCGGCUUUUGAGUGCAAAGGCAUAAGCGUGCCUGACUGCAAGACUGACAAGUCGAGCGGAUACGAAAGUAGGUCUUAGUGAUCUGGUGGUUCCAAGAGGUUGGGCCAUCACUUAACGGAUAAAAGCUACGCCGGGGAUAACAGGCUGAUCCCUCCCAAGAGUUCAUAUCGACGGGGGGGUUUGGCACCUCGAUGUCGGCUCAUCGCAUCCUGGAGCUGGAGAAGGUUCCAAGGGUUGGGCUGUUCGCCCAUUAAAGCGGUACGUGAGCUGGGUUUAGAACGUCGUGAGACAGUUUGGACCCUAUCUUCUGUGGGCGCAAGGAAAUUUGAGCGAACUCACCUUCAGUACGAGAGGACCGAGGUGAACAUGCCAAUGGUGUACCAAUUGUUUCGCCAGAAGCAACGUUGGGUAGCUAAGCAUGGACUGGAUAAACGCUGAAAGCAUCUAAGUGUGAAGCCAAUCGCGAGAUUAGAUUUCCCAAUUAGGACCGUGGAAGACCACCACGUUGAUAGGAUGGAUGUGUAAGCGCAGUAAUGCGUUUAGCUGACCAUUACUAAUAGUCCGAUUGUUUUUUAACU